UACGUAGGGGGGCUAGCGUUGUCCGGAUUUAUUGGGCGUAAAGAGCGUGUAGGCGGCCAUGUAGGUCCGGUGUGAAAACUCGAGGCUUAACCUCGAGAUGUCAUCGGAAACCAUUUGGCUAGAGUCCGGAAGAGGAGAGUGGAAUUCCUGGUGUAGCGGUGAAAUGCGCAGAUAUCAGGAGGAACACCGGUGGCGAAGGCGGCCCACUGGAUCGGUACUGACGCUGAGGUGCGAAAGCGUGGGGAGCGAACAGG
rnacentral:rRNA from 1 species